UUUUGUUCUGCUUUUUUUUUUUUUUCCUUUCUUUUUUUCCCUUUCUUUUUUUCUUGAACAAAAACACCAACAGAAACCAAUCAUGUAAUAAU
rnacentral:ribozyme from 12 species